CAGGAAGUAGUUUAAUUAGAACACCAGCUUUGGGAGUUGGCGGUAGGGUGAUAGGCCCUUUUCUUGA